AACGAACGCUGGCGGCAUGCCUAACACAUGCAAGUCGAACGAGAUCCUUCGGGGUCUAGUGGCGCACGGGUGAGUAACGCGUGGGAAUCUGCCCUUAGGUUCGGAAUAACAGUUAGAAAUGACUGCUAAUACCGGAUGAUGACGUUAAGUCCAAAGAUUUAUCGCCUGAGGAUGAGCCCGCGUAGGAUUAGCUAGUUGGUGUGGUAAAGGCGCACCAAGGCGACGAUCCUUAGCUGGUCUGAGAGGAUGAUCAGCCACACUGGGACUGAGACACGGCCCAGACUCCUACGGGAGGCAGCAGUGGGGAAUAUUGGACAAUGGGCGCAAGCCUGAUCCAGCAAUGCCGCGUGAGUGAUGAAGGCCUUAGGGUUGUAAAGCUCUUUUACCCGGGAUGAUAAUGACAGUACCGGGAGAAUAAGCCCCGGCUAACUCCGUG
rnacentral:rRNA from 1 species